AUACGGAGGGUGCAAGCGUUACUCGGAAUCACUGGGCGUAAAGCGCGCGCAGGCGGCUUGAUAAGUUGGAUGUGAAAGCCUACGGCUCAACUGUAGAACUGCAUCCAAAACUAUUUAGCUAGAGUGUGGGAGAGGAAGAUGGAAUUAGUUGUGUAGGGGUAAAAUCCGUAGAGAUAACUAGGAAUACCAAAAGCGAAGGCAAUCUUCUGGAACACUACUGACGCUGAGGCGCGAAGGCGUGGGGAGCAAACAGGAUUAGAAACCCGAGUAGUCC
rnacentral:rRNA from 1 species